rnacentral:sRNA from 1 species
UGUGUCUGAAGAGAGUGACGGCGUACUCAUGUAUAUGAACUAAGUCUUUUUUAAAAAGACAGAGAGCUACUGGAGAAAACAGGAGACAAAACCUCUGGCCUCCAUUGGCAUCCAGGAACUCACAGGGCUGGGAUGGGGCGUGGUUUCUGUGAGGGCCUCAGGGAUGAUGACAUCACGGCGGUGUGGACUGAGAGCCUUCUUUCUCUUUAACGGAUGCUGUCGCUGCAUGCCCCAUCUCCAGAGCAAGUCUUCCUCUUCUUUCCAAGUGUUGGGAUGCUGACUGUGUAGACAGUCCCUGCCUGGCUGAUGUCACUUGGGCAUUCGUCAGCUUGGUACCCCUUUUAGAUUUGAAGCGUCAGGAUUCUGCUGCUCUCCUGGCCUCCACUCCGACCUUGAUGGCCAGGGUAAAUGGUCUUUUUGGCUGAUGCUGAAGACACUUAUCUAACUGUGGCUGGAGCAGGCACUCCCAGCAUGGGGAAAGCGGGCUAUGGAAGCCUUUUCAGGUGGCUUCCUCUGGCAAGACCAUCCAACCCUGCAUCUUCCUGAGAUGUCACCUCCCCUGCAUGGUCCUAGAACCCUUCCUAGCCUAGAAGAUUCCAUGAGUAUCACUAACAAUUUGGGGUGAAGGCUCCAAGCCACUCAAAGACCAGAUUCAAAUCUGCUGUGGUUGAAGCCCCAAGUUCUACUUCCCGUGGAGCCCUGAGCCUUUCCAGACCCCUGUGGAGUCACUGAUGUGCAGGGGUUCCAGCCUUCACUCCUCGUUAGUCCCGGGAAAUGCCAACAUUUCGUAACGUGAUACAGAGACAUCAGGGUGAUUGGCAGUGCCGUUUGGAGAGGUGGUCGGGCCUCGCUGGAGGAAGAACAACGUCGUUGCAGGAGGAGGCUGUGGAAAGAAGUUUCACUCCACCUCCAGUUUGCUCUCUGCUUCGUGUCUGCUUUGAAGAUGUGGCCUCUCAACUUCCUGCUCCUUCUCCCUGCCGCCAUGCCUCCCCUCCACUAUGGACUAUCUCUCUAGAACUGUUACGUCAAUGACCAUCGCAAACUCAGGAGCUUUCUGGCCACGUGAUGUCUGGAGUCAAGACAGGAAGAGAGAAUGGAUCCUUGUGCUUACUUGUGCCUAGGUGCUUUCCCUCAUCCUUCCACAGUUCAGGGUACCCAUGAAGCGAUGGCACCCACAUCUGGGGUGUAUCUUCCACAUCAAAUAACGGUUGUGAAAGCCCACUGAUCCAGAUCGUUCCUCUCUUUCUGAAUGAUUGUAGUGGUUGUAUGCUGUGGCAAGUUGGAAGUUAAAACCAAGCAGCACACUGCUUCCUCCUGAAAGAAGAGGUUGGCCCACUUGCAGGAACUAUACACAACCCUAUAUUAUGAGAUUUCAUACCGUGUGGUGGGGUCCCUGGGUCUUUCUUUGGAGGAGGAGAAAUGGAAGGGAUGCUAACGCUGAGUGACCAAUGGGAGUAUGGAUUGCCCCAGCAAUUCAGAGGUGACAGCAUUCUCUGGCUACCUUUCUGUUGUGGUAAGGGGCUCACUGUGCAAGCAUGGGGACCCGAGUUCAACCCCAGAGUUCCUGUAAGAAGCAGAGGACGAUGACAUGUGCUUGCAAUGCCAACACGAGAGAGGUGGCACGGGGAGGAACUCUGGGCUCAGUGGCCAGCCAGGCUAGCUGAAGGUUCAGUCAGAGAUCCUGUCUCAAAAUCCAAGACCAAGAAUGACUGAGAACAACCCCACCAACCUCUGGCUUCCAGAAGCCUGUACAUACAUACACACACACACACACACACACACACACACACACACACACCAU